rnacentral:rRNA from 1 species
UACGUAGGUCGCAAGCGUUGUCCGGAUUUACUGGGCGUAAAGAGCGCGCAGGCGGCUGGUCAAGUCCGAUGUGAAAUCUCCCGGCUCAACUGGGAAACUGCAUCGGAAACUGAUCGGCUUGAAGAUGGGAGAGGGUAGUGGAAUUCCCGGUGUAGUGGUGAAAUGCGUAGAUAUCGGGAGGAACACCUAUGGCGAAGGCAGCUCGCUGGGACGUUACUGACGCUGAGGCGCGAAAGCGUGGGGAGCAAACAGGG